rnacentral:rRNA from 1 species
AUUGAACGCUGGCGGCAGGCCUAACACAUGCAAGUCGAGCGGAAACGAGUUAUCUGAACCUUCGGGGAACGAUAACGGCGUCGAGCGGCGGACGGGUGAGUAAUGCCUAGGAAAUUGCCCUGAUGUGGGGGAUAACCAUUGGAAACGAUGGCUAAUACCGCAUGAUGCCUACGGGCCAAAGAGGGGGACCUUCGGGCCUCUCGCGUCAGGAUAUGCCUAGGUGGGAUUAGCUAGUUGGUGAGGUAAGGGCUCACCAAGGCGACGAUCCCUAGCUGGUCUGAGAGGAUGAUCAGCCACACUGGAACUGAGACACGGUCCAGACUCCUACGGGAGGCAGCAGUGGGGAAUAUUGCACAAUGGGCGCAAGCCUGAUGCAGCCAUGCCGCGUGUAUGAAGAAGGCCUUCGGGUUGUAAAGUACUUUCAGUCGUGAGGAAGGUAGUGUAGUUAAUAGCUGCAUUAUUUGACGUUAGCGACAGAAGAAGCACCGGCUAGCUCCGUGCCAGCAGCCGCGGUAAUACGGAGGGUGCGAGCGUUAAUCGGAAUUACUGGGCGUAAAGCGCAUGCAGGUGGUUUGUUAAGUCAGAUGUGAAAGCCCGGGGCUCAACCUCGGAAUAGCAUUUGAAACUGGCAGACUAGAGUACUGUAGAGGGGGGUAGAAUUUCAGGUGUAGCGGUGAAAUGCGUAGAGAUCUGAAGGAAUACCGGUGGCGAAGGCGGCCCCCUGGACAGAUACUGACACUCAGAUGCGAAAGCGUGGGGAGCAAACAGG